AACCAGUUCAAUUCGCCUAUUCUGGCUGCAUAUUUGAUUUUAACAAACAUUGUUUUACUUAAUCUUCUUAUUGCUAUGUUUUCGUAAGUAAUUAAUAGUACUGUAAAUUCAGAAAUUAUUGCGAGCAUUUAUUAUUGUGAUUUUGACAUUUUUUACUUAAAUGCAAUUUAAAUUUUUACGAUUUUGAGAAAAAAAAACCUGAUUAAUUCAUACAAUAUAUUUCAAAAUGGGAGUUUAAAUUAUUGCUUUAACAACUCUGCUGCAUUUUUUGGAAUAAUAAAAACGUCGCAUUCAUUUAUGAAUUAACAGUAGUUAGCUAUAGAAAGAUAAGGGAAAUACCAAGGCGAUAUUCAAACUACAUUAUACAAAAAACACCUGAAAACGUCAUUGCAAAAUAUCAAUUCAAGAAUUGCUUCACGUUAAACAAUGCUACAUUUAAAAUACAAUAAAUACUGAAAUCCAAGGACGAUUUCAAACAGAAAGUCCCUCAUUUGACUCGCUCAAAACUAAAAAAUAGGAUGAAGUAAAUCUCAAUAGCCUUUAAUUUAAGUAGUCACUAACUACGAAAUAAAGAAAAACAAAUAAGCUAAGACACAUCGCUGAUAAAUUAUAGACUUGCGUGUGAGCAAUUUGACCUCAUUGAAUCCGUAUUGAUGUGAACUUUAAGCAAACACGACGGGUGAUACAUUUGAAACAGGGUCUUCUUGCCAUUCCGUAGCACCUGAGAUCAUCCCUAGUUUUAGUGGGGUUCGUGUUGCUAAUUCUUUAGUUUCCUAUGCUCUGUCAUGUGUUCUAUUGUUUGUCUACUUUUCUUUUUCAUUGUAAGCCAGGCAUUGUCAGUUUAUUUUCGAUUUAUGAGAUUGACUGUCCCUCUGGUAUCUUUCGUCCAUCUUUUAACGCAGACACAUAGCUAUAAUUUGGAUGCGAAUGCAUUAUGUGUGUUUAGUUAUAAAAUGGAAAAUAAUUCAACAUUGAAAGUGAAACAAGUGUAUAUCAUUCUAAUAACUGAUUCGAUCUACACAAACUUAUUCUUAUACAUGUUGAAACGAUGAUUAAGAUAUAUUGUAAUAUAUAAUAUGAAAUCAGAGAGACCUAGAAAAUGCCAAUUGUUCACACUCGCUAUCAGUUUUUAUAUAUGUGUUUAUGUCUAUAACUAAUUGUAUGACCGUUGAUAGUCUUUUUAGGUCGAUCAACAAGAUGGUUCACAAGAUGUUUUCUAGACUAAAAAUGUUAAAAUGAUAUACAUUUUAGUUAAUAAUAAAACGAAUAUUAGAAUUUGAUUCAAACCAGUGAACAUUAAUUUAACAGAUAGUGCUCCUUCAAUGAAAAGUUUGUAAAGAGUCAAAAUAUUUGUAAACCUUUAUGUUUAACCGAUCAGUAAAAUAACUAGAAAUCAAAGCAAUACCAGCUAUGACGUCGCUUAUCAUAGAAUUUAGAAACAAUAAAUUCCAAUCUAUUCCUGAAAUAAAUAAAAAAGUUUAGAGGACGAUAAAUGUCAAGUUGACAACUCAUUAUAUGUAAGAAUGAGAGUAUAUGGCACAAAAAAACCAAUGAUAUAACUGUCUACGUAGUCGUAGAGACAAAUAAGUUAACAAAAAUAAAUUAUCGUACGGACUUUAACAAUGAAAAUCACAUAUCGAACAGUUAGCAACAAAAGACUCCAAAUUGGCAAAUAUAAAACAAUUCAAACGAGAAAAACUAUUAGCCUGAAUUAAGUACAUAACGACAAACUAAAUGCAAACAAAAUAAGAAUAACGCCUACAAACGACAUCUAAAGCAGUACAAACUGCUGGCGAUGGACAGGGUGAAUAUAGAAAUGAGAAGAUGAUUGCAAAUGAAGUACAAAUAAGCAAUUAUAGGCACAUAUUGAGCCUAAACAAGUAGACAAACCCCUUUCCUGGGACCAUACCCUUCUUUCUUUAACAUAUGAGAGUGUUGUAAACAUAUGACGUAACAAUUAACUAUAGAAAAACAGUUAAUAAGGGCUUAACUUGUCAGAUUGAUUGAAUGCACCUUGAAAUCUUACCAAAACACAGAAUACAAAAAGUUCAGAUCUUACAUAGAGUACUCGAAAGCUAGUCUAAAGCUAAUUGCAACUAAUAAACAAGCAUAAUCAGUGCACAUCCACCAUCAAACAAAUAAGGAUAAAUAAAUCAUUAACAUACCAUAACAGAUAAGUCAAUUAAUUCAUUGAUUGUUUGCAAUACAUGCACUAUGUUCUUCAUGUUAGGGAAAGGGUCUUUCAGUCAUAAACAAAAUUCAUUAUUUUAUAUGUGUUUUUUAAAACAUGUUUUCCCAGGUACACAUUCGAAAGAGUACAAGAAAACUCCGAAACCAUUUGGAAGUUCAAUCGAUAUGCACUUGUAUAUGAAUACUAUGACAGACCAUCGUUUCCAAUCCCAAUAUUCGUCACUCGUCUCAUUGU
rnacentral:lncRNA from 1 species